UGGAGGGAUCCGCCGGUGCCAUCCAGGCUCCCGACCGACGGACUUGCUGGGUCGCCACCCCUCCCGUGCGGUGGGGACAUCCACGUCGGCGCUGGCUGGGUACUGAGUGGCGGGGCCCGUCAUGCGUUCGGUCGAGGGAUUGGUCGUGCCGGCGCAGGAUCUUAGCCGCCGUCGAUGGAUUUCUCACAGCUUGGCUACCUGUUGCUUUGGAUCCGGUUCAGUAGCGGGCAAUGCUCAAGACAGAGUUGGGCGCACAUCAUAUAUAUACAUAUGUUGUCAUGUCUUAAUAAAUGGAGAUGAGCAGAAGUAGAGAUGAGAUAUCUAUCCGACUGUCAUCCUUCCCAGACUUGGGUUUGUCAUCUCUGGCACAAUAACUCUAAUCCGACUUGAGCAGUGCAACCACGACAGUGCGCAGUGGAACCGUAAGAUAGAGAUAGAUACAGGUAGAAUAUAACUGGUCAUAUUUCUAAAAUGAUCACACUACUUAUGGUGCCGGAAGAGAAGGCAUCAGUGAUAGCGGGCUUGGUGAUGAGGGCAUCAAUACAAAGAGAUUAAUUCACAACUUUGUUCUUGAUGGGUUUUACAAAUAUACAAGGUACUACUGUUUCCUUUUAUGUUUAAAUAGCUUUGUGAGUACAGUUAUAUGAAAAUUCUGUGACUCAUAGCGCGGAAGCGGGCAUCUUUGUUUUCCUGGCCCAAAAUACUUAGUUUCAUGCCUCCAUGGUAUAAUUUAGAGGCACAGUCCAAUGAGAGAUUCCUACUUAUCUAGCUAAUAUAUAACGUUUGACGGUACUGUCUUGUGUUGUAAAUACAAAAUAUGCUGCAUGAGCAUUACUUUUAUUUUGAAUUUAAUUUUGUGUUUGAGCCUCUCUUACAUAUUAAGUGUAAUAUCACAGACUUUCUUCUUUCAGGGUUAACUGGCCAUGCAAAAACUGUUGUGAGGCAUUAAAUGGUACUAUAUGUGUUUGGCCUGAUUUUGUUCACUUUUGUCCUUUCCAAAGUGGAAUAAGAAAAGAAAGUCAAAACAGGCUCAACCAUGACUACUCUGCUCUUGUGAUCACCAAUUUCUGCUCCAUUGCGCACAAGAAAGUAGUGACUAUUUAUUUGCUUAAACAAUAUGUCCAGCCACCAAUUUCUGCACGUCUUGCUAAUAUUCCUUUAUGGAUGUAUCACACAAAUUUCGGUUAUUGGAUAUGAAAUGUAGGUUCUCUACUCAGAGCUGGGUCCAAUGGUCAAUGUAGCUCUAUGUUGUGCUAUCUUGCUAUUGGGCUUUUUUUCGUUACUUAAAAUGGUUGAUUGCUUAUAACCAAAAUAACUAUGUUAGUACAGUGAAGCCAAUUUCUACAUUGUUGGUGAAGUUGGCUAAAUAGUUUUUGCGCCACUAAGAUAUAUAUGUGCACUGCAUUCUAACCCUGUAAAUUGUUGUUCUAUUAGUUUAAUCCGGAAUAUAGUUAUGUUUGUGUCUCGACAUAUGCUUGUGAUGCAUCGUGCUACCAGAGGCCAACAUUAUCAAGUAUCAUAGCGACGCUAAAAAUGCCUAUUGGUUACUCUGCAUUUUCUCAUCUGAUCUCUCAUAUAUAGAUAUUAAUUUCCUUUCACGGGAGGCCUUCAUUACAUAGCGGAAGUUGUGGAUGUGGUCGGCGGUUGAGGGAGGGUCUCCGACUAGAGCAGUAGGAGCAAGGAGCUCGAGGAGGUUCAGGUAUGGCUUCUCAUGGGAUGUGAUUAUGGUCAUGCUGCUUAUUACGAAGCUACGGUGAGCAUUAUGAAGAUGAGCAGGCGAGUGGCUGAUAUAGAGAGCUCCUCGAACGGGGAAGUAGCAUUGCUGGAGGAACUCGAAGAUGAGAAGGAUCCGUUGUCAUGCCUUUGCCUUACUGCUGUGCUGAUACUGGAUGCAACAUUGUGGACCUUUGGUUCGAGCAUGGCCAGCAUCGCCACAGAUUGUAGGGGAGAAAUGUAUUGCCUAAUGAGUUGUAUGCUUUCUUCGGAUCCUCCGUGCUUCCUAUCACAUCUGGCUUGGCCACCUACAGAUUCUUGGGUCUAGUUGAAGGGUCCUCCAGGCUUAAGAUCUUUCUAGGAUAGUUGCAUCAUUUAAUCUGAAGGUUAUGCGAUCUCCUGUGUUGCUGCAUGUUGAUCUUCUGUUUUGUUGUAACUCUGUUUUGCUGCUUGAGGUUUGCUUCCUUUCUUUCUGGCUACAUGUGUAUUCUUUGAUUUCUAGCUACAUGUAUGUUUUCCUUUUGCUCAUGGAAUAGUUUAGUUAUAUUGAACAGGAACAUCUCUAUUAUUAGAGACAUACUAGGCCUGUGCUUCUUCACAGUGGCCAUCUCUUUUUUUGUGAGAAGUGUGCCUUAUGGCCGAAAAUCCAUCUCUGCACCCGAGCUCAUCUGCACCCACACUGACGAAAAAGAUCAAAAUAAAUACUAGAAAAAUUCAAAAAAUUCCAAUUUUUUUGUGCGGUACACAAUUUGAUGCGUCAGAUCCGCUCCAAUUUUCAUAUUGUUUGGACACCUGAGGAGCUCUCAGCAAAAAAACAAAUUGGGGGUGUGUAAAAAUGUUUACUGUUCAUUAUUAUGUUAUAUUCUGCUUUUGUCAGUUUGCUGGUCCAUAUUAAUUUCCUCGAGCUUAUUUUCACAUCUUGUCAUAUUUACACCUCUCCGCCGGCUGCCACCUAUCAUGGAGGGAGAUGGCUUGGCCAGGCCGUCAACACCCAUCGGCAACUUCCGGCAAGCGUCGUCCCAUUCUUCCUCCCCUUACUCUGAUGCCUUGAUGGCCAAAAUCAUUAGCAGGAGCAAGAAGGGCUGGGUUUUAUAAGUGCAAUGGCUUGAAAUGUGACCUUCCAGUCAAGAAAUUUCCUCAGUGAGAAGCUUAUGCGAAGAAUGAUGAAAUUAAGUUAGCAAUUUACAGUUCUCUUUGAUAAUUGUAACUGAAUUGUCAAUGGCCAGUUCUCUCGAAUAAUGAGUUACUCCCUCAAUUUUACAAUAGAGAUAAUUUGUCAAAAUUGUGUUUUUGUAAUGUUUGUGGUCUUCUCUUUUCUUUUUCUUGAUUUGUAUUGUAUAUGCUACUUGCAUAUUUGAACAUGCAUAGGACCUCUCAGUCUUUAACCCUGACUAUAAAAAUCCAUUGAUGGAAGCUGGGGAGGGCCGAGAUGAACAUCCAGCUCCCUGGGUCUAAGCCAUCGAGAUGGUAGAGACGACGUUUCCAUGUCAUCUACUCCAGCAGCCGGACAAGGCAUAUAAAAACCAUGGAUCCUUACUCCCCAUGCCGCAAAAUGAUCACAGUGAUGUCUACGACCUUCUCCUAGAUGUAUUAAUCUCAAUCUCAUGUUUGGUUUUCUUUCCUUUUCUCUUCUAAUGAUGUAAUUUCUUUUACUAAGAUAACACCAUCUUUGUUGUAAUUUCUUAUUUGAUGUAAGAUCCCUUUUCUA